CGGAGGGGUCAGAGGUCAGCUUCAAGAUGGCGUCAGGAGGCAAUUCUGUGGAAUAAAGUGGUCUUACGCCUCGAGCCGAGGUAGCAGCACGGGCUUUGGUUCAGCUAUUAGCGAGGGAACUGUCCGCGCCUUCAAGCGCAUCCCAAGUUAGGGUAGCGACAGGACAGGGAGCCAAGUCAGCGGACCAGUCAGGGCUGGAGACAGCACCCAACCUGUCCCCAAUAAUGAUGUUCCCGCCUGAGGGCCCAGGGGAGCUGGAACUUGCUUAUGCUGGCCUUGGGAAAAGGAUUAUUAGUACACACAGUGAGAUUGUGGCUCUCCUUGAGGAGGAGUUUCCAAAACCAAAAUUAUUAAAAGAAGGAUGGAUGUUCUUCAAAUCUACAGGUGGGAGCAGACGUUGCAAGCUGUCCAUAAUCCCUACUGACAACGAGGGGUACUCCACAAGGCUCCUCAAAUCAGUGUCCAACAACGGCAAAGACAUAGUGUUUGUUGUUCCACUACAGGAGCAACUUUCCACCGAAGCGCUUCCUUUUGAUUCGCCAGAGUUCGCAAAGAUGCCACAGUCAUGCUGCAUUUCAUGUGGCAGUGAAAUGCCUUUGCAGAGGUUUGCCCAGUCUGUCUCGUAUCAUACCCAGUUGGUAUCCUCCCAUCUCACACAAGCACAUGUGGUGACAGAAUGGGCAGUGCUCUCUGCAGUGGAACAGCUAUGGAAAAAGAAUUACCAGGACCUUCUGUCCCACGAUUACCACCAUCUUUUUCAUCAGGGUUAUUUAGAGAAUAGCUAUGGCCCGGUCCAGUCAGCAGCCUCAGUACAGCUGUAGUAACCCAGAGCAGUCAGCUCCCCCUGCACAGGAUGGUGGGUCAUUCUUGGACAGAUGGAAUGUACCAUCUGACCGGCCACACCCAGAAGAGGAGGAGAUAGUGAGAGAUGAGUGUGAUUCAGCAGUGUCUGGAGCUCCACCUGCUGAGCAUGACUCAUUUUGGAUUAAUUUUUAAUAUUUCCAGACAUUUCUCAAACCAGAGCUGCAGGCCCUGCUCGCCCUCCCUCGUACUCAGCACGGACAGGGUAGAACCAGUGUCCAUGCCAGAAGAAAAUCUUAAAAAAAAAAAAGAUGCUGUUUGAAACCAUCCCCAUGUUCACUGGAGGAACCUGCAACCCUCAGUUCAUGGUGUACCAGCUGAAGAUGAAGAUCCACACGUCGAACCCAAGAAGACAAGCUGAUGCUGUUUGAGUUCCCGCAGCCGCUUCCUGUUUGUGGAGACAUCAUGGUGGAGUCCUUCCACAAGUAGAACAAGAUGAUGAGGACGGUGAAGCUGUACUUCACUAAGACGGUAGAAGAAUUAGCUGACUGUGACGCCAGCAGCACGUUGGCCUCUGUGACACUGAACGUUAGCGACACCUGAGAGGGAGUGAGGGAGAGACGGAGGGAGAGAGAGAGAGACACAGACAGCAGGUCAUUACUGUACCUGCACACAUGACAAGACUACAGGUUGUUCCUGCACCUGUGAUGGAGCUGCUCAUACACAUUCAAGGACAAGAGCCACUCACUGCCUCCAUGUUGGCUGCAGCUCCACUCAUGGAUCAAUAACAGCUUCUUGGGGAGCGACUGUACCCAAUGAUUCAGGCCCUUCAGCCAAAUUUGGCUGGUAAAAUUACUGGGAUACUGCUGGAGAUUGACAACUGGGAGCUGCUGUACAUGCUGAAGGCUGCUGAAGAGAUAUUUGAGCUGUUUGAAAGAACGAUAGCAGAGCAGAGCACAUGACUGUGAGUGUUACUGUGAUCUUUUGGUCUGCAUUGGUAAAUUUCACCCUGAUAUUUUAGUCAUUAACUCUACUAAUUCAUGUGAAACCCUGAGUGGCUUGGCAGGGCAAAACAAGGGCAACAGUGGGUGAUUGGGGUAAAGGAGCACAAGACAGCAGCACAGCAAGUGGCUGCCUUUGCCCCAUCAGAGGAGGAGAUGCAUGUAAGUUCAUCACAUUUCCUGUCAGAACCUGUCAGAACAUUAACCUUAAUUUUUUCUCCUCUGCCAACAGUGGUUUGAUGUCUCCUACAGACUGGUGCAGCCACAACUCCUGAGACCCACCAGGAAUUGCAAGAGGGAUGUGAAAUGGAAACAUUUGAACAGUUGUGAUAAUCUGGGCCUACCUGCUGCACCGGGGCAAGUUCCAGGAGGCGCUGGGCUUCUACAGAGAGGUCCUGACACGAGACAAGAAGUGUGUGACCAUCCCCAGUCAGCGGCACUGUGUCAUCUACUACAGCUUCCUGCUGAGGAACCAGCUGCUGUACAAACCCGUCGCUCUGCUCUUCCACAAGAUGCUGUUUGAAACCAUCCCCAUGUUUACUGGAGGAACCUGCAAACCCUGCAAGUCCUGCCACAAGAUGAACAAGAUAAUGAAGAAGAUGAAGUGGAGGACAAGCUCAAAGGUGCAGGCACUGAUGGGAAACCUCCUCAGGCCGCGAUGUGAAGUUCAUUGUGAAAGACUCAGUAGAGGAGAAGAUGGUGGAGAUCCAGAGGGGGAAGCAGGACCUGGUGGAGAAGGCUUUUGGCUCCAAGAACAAUGACAGGAAAACAUCUUGCAUCAAUGACAUCAAGGCUCUGAUGGAGCUAUAGAUGUCUGACAAUGGGCCUGAGCUAAUGUGUCAACAGUGCAACAAGACAAACCUUGAACCAUUACAACAGUUGACUGUGUUCUCUAUUGUUGUCUCAGUUCAUAUCUGAGAGUUUUUGCACACAUUGUUAAUGUUUGCUUCCUACUUUGAAUUUGAUAUUUUGCUUUCAUAGUUUAUCAUUUUUGUUCUAUUUUGAUUCCAGCUGUUUUAUUAAAAUUUUGAUAAGUAGUUUUGUAAGUUUAAUUGUUCUAAGUAGUUGCCAUUAUUUGUUUUGCUUUUAGUCCAGACAUAUAUUUAUGGAUCGCCAACACAUUCAGCACACAAACGAGUGCUUUGGCAGUAUGUACAGUGUUACCUCAUGCCAAUAAAGCCAGUUGAAUUGAGAGAGAGA